ACGGGAGGCAGCAGUGGGGAAUAUUGCACAAUGGGGGAAACCCUGAUGCAGCGACGCCGCGUGAGUGAAGAAGUAUUUCGGUAUGUAGAGCUCUAUCAGCAGGAAAGAAAAUGACGGUACCUGACUAAGAAGCCCCGGCUAACUACGUGCCAGCAGCCGCGGUAAUACGUAUGGAGCAAGCGUUAUCCGGAUUUACUGGGUGUAAAGGGAGCGUAGACGGCAAAGCAAGUCUGAAGUGAAAUCCCGGGGCUCAACCCCGGAACUGCUUUGGAAACUGUUUAGCUAGAGUGCAGGAGAGGUAAGCGGAAUUCCUAGUGUAGCGGUGAAAUGCGUAGAUAUUAGGAGGAACACCAGUGGCGAAGGCGGCUUACUGGACUGUAACUGACGUUGAGGCUCGAAAGCGUGGGGAGCAAACAGGAUUAGAUACCCUGGUA
rnacentral:rRNA from 1 species